rnacentral:lncRNA from 1 species
AAAAACGUUUAUCGACAGGUUGUAGGUAUCCCCAUGGGCACUAAUUGUGCCCCUUUAAUAGCAGACUUGUUUUUGUACUGUUACGAAUCACAGUUUAUGACUAAACUCAGUAAAGACCCGUCGAAAUUGCAUUUAAUUGAUAAAUUCAACAACACUUACCGUUAUCUUGAUGAUAUUUUUUCGUUAAAUAAUCAAGAAUUUUCUCAAUAUACUGCUGAAAUUUACCCCCAAGGAACUUACUUUAAAUAAAUCAAAUUUAUUCGGUAAUAACUGUCCUUUCCUGGAUUUAGAUAUUUCGGUUUUAAAUGGGAAACUCCACACUAAAAUUUACGACAAAAGAGACGAUUUUUCGUUCCCUAUUGUUAAUUUUCCAUUUUUUAGAUGGUGAUGUUACUUUGGCACCAUCUUACGGUGUUUAUAUUUCACAACUUGUUCGCUAUGCCCGUGUCUGUUGUGACGUUUUUGAUUUUAAUGAACGCAACCUAUGUAUUACUGGUAAAUUAUUAAACCAGGGAUAUCGUUACCAUAAAUUACUGAAAACCUUUACUAAAUUUUUCCAUAGAUAUAAAGAUUUGGUUUUGAAGUUUGGAUGUACCUGUAGAAAACUUAUUUCAAACGGGAUAGCACAUCCUUAUUUUUACGGAAAUGUUGUUAACCGUGCCCGUAAACUUGUCGCUCCUUUAAAAAAACUUAUUCUAAAAGGUUACCUAUUCAACACCGUAAUAAGAUCAUUGAAUAUUGUUUUUAUUGGAAUAAAUAUUGAUUUUGUUAUCAGUAGAUUAAAAGCUAACUAAAUUUUACUAGUAUGUUAUAUAUAUACAUAUUCAUGGAUCUACAAUCUGUCGAUACCUGUAACUUGGCAUUGCACAAGGUCAUGUGUUUUUUCUCUGGCUGUUUAUGAUGUCUUUACACUAAAUCCAUUGGAUGUUGGAUGUGUACGGAUUGAUAGUUUAGUCUUAGAUGCAUGAUUUUUUUUAUUAGUUGUUAGUGGCUUUGAACGAGCUGUCAGAUAACUGCGAGUACUCUCAGAUCUGUUCAUUGUGUCUUUUUGUGUCGGGAUGUAUAAGUACCCGGCCACGUCCACUUAUAUUUUUGUCCAUCUGAUGAGUUAAGCCUUUUUCAACUGAUUUUUAUAGUUCGUUCUUAUGUUGUACUGUUAUACCACUGUCCCAGGUUAGGGGGAGGGUUGGGAUCCCCCGCUAACAUGUUUAACCCCGCCACAUUAUUUAUGUAUGUGCCUGUCCCAAGUCAGGAGCCUGUAUAUUCAGUGGUUGUCGUUUGUUUAUGUGUUACAUAUUUGUUUUUCGUUCAUUUUUUUACAUAAAUGAGGCCGUUAGUUUUCUCGUUUGAAUUGUUUUACAUUGUCUUAUCGGGGCCUUUUAUAGCUGACUAUGCGGUAUGGGCUUUGCUCAUUGUUGAAGGCCGUACGGUGACCUAUAGUUGUUAAUGUCUGUGUCAUUUUGGUCUUUUGCGGAUAGUUGUCUCAUUGGCAAUCUUACCACAUCUUCUUUU